rnacentral:tRNA from 1 species
GCGCCGGAAGCUCAAACGGAUGAGCGCCCCGAUACCAUCGGGGAGGCUGGCGGUUCGAUACCGACCCCGGCGCU